rnacentral:misc_RNA from 1 species
AUAAAAAAAAAAAAAAAAAAAUCAUUAUUUAGUACAACUUCUGGGAGCAUCUCCUGCAAGAAAUCCUUAUAAAAACUAAUCAAAGUGGAAUGCCUUGUAAACUUCUAUUAAUUUAACAUUAUCAUGCUACUUCCUAACAACAUAUCUAGGAAUCUGUUCCCACUAUCUGGUGUUUUAAAGAACAUAUCUCUCAUUCUCUUUUGAGAUUUGUUUCCACUAAUAGAAAGGCAUCCACUGUGAAUUUGCCAGCUUUAUCCAGCACUUGAUUCCAUUAAGAUUUAAGAGAAAGUGGUGGGCCUGGUCCUGAAGUAGCUUAGAUAAUCCUUGAAUUUGAUCUCCACUGCCUCUUAGAAAUAUAUUCCACAUCGUCAUAUGUAAUAAGAUUCACCACACACUAUAUGUGAACUUCAAGAUUAUACAAGAAGAAUUCUGCUGCUAGCCUAACACCAAGAGCAGUUCAGUUACAAUGACCACCUUCGAUAAAACUGCACACAUACAACAUAGAUAAUAGCAACAGCAAUAAAACCACUCACUCUAAAAUGGCUAUAUAAUAGUUAAAAUAAACCAAACAUGUAAUCCAAGUAAUCCAGCUACCAUAUUGACUGUAAGUAAAUGAAGAAGUGAGGAAGAGAAAUGGGAUUGAAGUUGAACAGAAGCAUCAGGCAGUGAAUGGGCCAAAAAGAAUCUUCUAAAGAACCAAUCAAUAGAUAUGAUAUCUUUCAAUUACAUUUAACUACUACAAUGAGAAGAUGUGUCUUAACAGAAAUCAAUGUUGCCCACAAAAUUGGAUUCCAGUAGUGAAGAAGCAAUUAAGGCAAAGAUGGAUCAAAGUAAGCUUCAACUAAACAGACAGCUUUUAUCGUCUAAGCGUGGUGCAUUUCUAGUUUUGGUGGAUAACUUCUCAUAGAUAAUCCUAGACAUGCUAGCAACUAAUAUUAUUGCUCCCUGCUUAAAUGUUUAGGAAGAUAAGCAAAAUGCCUCACAAGGAGAAGAAAGUUCAAAUGGAAACAAAAUUUAGUAUGAUGAUUGGCUACAUACAAAGCUCCAUUUGGGAUUAUGUUGGGAGGCCAAAAUGCUGCCUUUUGGAAAAGCAUCAUUUUAGAUGCUGUAGAACAAAAGCAAUUUAAAAAAAUUGUUUAGUUGUUUUGCAAUUCUUAGACUAAAACAUCAAAUUUAAUUAAACCAAUUUUUAGUACUUUCUAACUAACAUAUUUAAGAAGGUGCUUUCCUCAAUAAUAGCUCUAUCAACAAUGCUAAACAGACCCUAAAUUGUUGACAAACAUUCCCUUUAAAAGAAUGGUCUGGUGGUUUAUGGGAUAGGAUUUUCCCUGCAUGUUUCCCCUAUACCCAAAAUUUAAGGUUCAAGGAGCAUCUAUCACAAUAUAUAAAAUGUAAAACAGAAAAAAAAAAUGAACACUAGAUACAAUGAGUAAAUCUCCUUGGAGAUUAGAUUUGCAAAAGGCACAUCAAUAACAAACAAAGCCAUAAAUAGUGAACAGAUUGUUCAUGUGUCAAAUGAUUGUUUAACAAAUAAGCAAAUCAAAAGAAUCUGAAGCUAAAUAGAAAUUCACACGUCAGAGAUUUAGUACCUGUUUGAUAUUGAGGUUAAAGAGCUAAAUCUGCUUAUCAGGACAAAAAAACAGCAUCUUAGAUGCUGUUGAAAAAAAUAAUUUUUAGUAUUUUUAUGACUAAAAC